AUUGAACGCUGGCGGCAGGCCUAACACAUGCAAGUCGAGCGAGUGGCGGACGGGUGAGUAAUGUAUGGGAAACUGCCCGAUAGAGGGGGAUAACUACUGGAAACGGUAGCUAAUACCGCAUACUAUCGGAUGUACCCAUAUGGGAUUAGCUAGUAGGUGGGGUAAAGGCUCACCUAGGCGACGAUCCCUAGCUGGUCUGAGAGGAUGACCAGCCACACGGGAACUGAGACACGGCCCAGACUCCUACGGGAGGCAGCAGUGGGGAAUAUUGCACAAUGGGCGCAAGCCUGAUGCAGCAAUGCCGCGUGUAUGAAGAAGGCCUUCGGGUUGUAAAGUACUUUCAGCGGGGAGGCGUUACCCGCAGAAGAAGCACCGGCUAACUCCGUGCCAGCAGCCGCGGUAAUAC
rnacentral:rRNA from 1 species